rnacentral:rRNA from 1 species
GAAACCAGGUUAGAUACCCUAUUACACUCGAAAGCAAAAUAGGUAAAUGCUUGAAUAUUAAUAGUUAUGUUCUUUAAAAUCAAAGAAUUUGGCGGUAUUUUAGUCUUGUUAGAGGAACUUGUUCUUUAAGCGAUAAAACACGUAGUAUCUUGCUUAUUUUUGUUAGUUAGUUUGUAUACCGUCAUUAUUAAAUGAUUUCGAGAGAAUUAAUUAUUGGGAUUAGUCGUUUGAGUUAAGUAUAUUAGAUCAAGGUGCAGCUUAUGAAUAAGUAGAAAUGAGUUACAAUAGAAUUUAUUUAGAACGGAUUAUAAAUUGAACAAUUUAUAUAGAAGGUGGAUGUAAUUGUAAAAAUAAUUUAAUAAGUUAUUUUGAUAAAAGCUCUAAGUUAUGUACAUAUCGCCCGUCGCA